rnacentral:rRNA from 1 species
GAUGAACGCUGGCGGCGUGCCUAAUACAUGCAAGUCGAGCGAACGGACGAGAAGCUUGCUUCUCUGAUGUUAGCGGCGGACGGGUGAGUAACACGUGGAUAACCUACCUAUAAGACUGGCAUAACUUCGGGAAACCGGAGCUAAUACCGGAUAAUAUUUUGAACCGCAUGGUUCAAAAGUGAAAGACGGUCUUGCUGUCACUUAUAGAUGGAUCCGCGCUGCAUUAGCAAGUUGGUAAGGUAACGGCUUACCAAGGCAACGAUGCAUAGCCGACCUGAGAGGGUGAUCGGCCACACUGGAACUGAGACACGGUCCAGACUCCUACGGGAGGCAGCAGUAGGGAAUCUUCCGCAAUGGGCGAAAGCCUGACGGAGCAACGCCGCGUGAGUGAUGAAGGUCUUCGGAUCGUAAAACUCUGUUAUUAGGGAAGAACAUAUGUGUAAGUAACUGUGCACAUCUUGACGGUACCUAAUCAGAAAGCCACGGCUAACUACGUG